rnacentral:rRNA from 1 species
GGGUUAAGUCCCGCAACGAGCGCAACCCCUGUGUCCUGUUGCCACCGGAACGAGAGUUCCGAGCACUCUGGACAGACUGCCCCGUCCAAACGGGGAGGAAGGUGGGGAUGACGUCAAGUCAGUAUGGCCCUUACGGCCAGGGCUGCACACGUACUACAAUGCCCGGUACAAAGGGAAGCAAGGCGGCAACGCGGAGCAAAUCCCAAAAACCGGGCCCAGUUCAGAUUGUCGGCUGCAACUCGCCGGCAUGAAGCUGGAAUCGCUAGUAAUGGCGCAUCAGCUACGGCGCCGUGAAUACGUUCCCAGGCCUUGUACACACCGCCCGUCACAUCAUGAAAGCCGGCUGUACCCGAAGUCGUCGCGUCAACCGCAAGGAGAUAGACGCCGAAGGUAUGGCUGGUGAUUGGGAUGAAGUCGUAACAAGGUAGCCGUAGGGGAACCUGCGGCUGGAUCACCUCCUUU